rnacentral:rRNA from 1 species
GACAGAGGGUGCAAACGUUGUUCGGAUUUACUGGGCGUAAAGCGCGUGUAGGCGGCUUGGCAAGUUGAAUGUGAAGGCCCACGGCUCAACCGUGGAAUCGCAUCCAAAACUGCUUCGCUUGAGUCUCGGAGAGGAAGGUGGAAUGCUUGGUGUAGAGGUGAAAUUCGUAGAUAUCAAGCAGAACACCUGCGGCGAAGGCGGCCUUCUGGACGAUGACUGACGCUGAGACGCGAAAGCGUGGGGAGCAAACAGG